AUAAUGUACUCAUCAAUGCAGCAGAACGCAGAGUGUAUUUGGUGGAUCCUUUAAGCAACCCCGCAGAGCAGGCAGAAUCAGAAGCUGCUGCACAAAAGUUCUGUGAAUACUUUUAGAUGAGGAAUAUCCACCACCGGGACAGAGAGUGGGCAGAUGUUGAGUUCAAAGGAGAUGUUAUGAAACACCCAGUUCAGCAAGAUGGAUAUAACUGUGGUGUGAUAGUCAUUAUGAUGGCAAAGGCAGUCAUGAAGGCAUUUCCUAAAUUGCCUAACAUGGAAUUUGGGACUACUCCAAAAGAGAUGGCACAGGAACGUACAGCUUUGGCACUGGAAAUACUUCAAGCUUCAGUGUUUGACGCAGAGAACAAUUGUUCCAUGUGUUCAAAACACAACCCACCAUGUCCAGGGCCUUCCAUUAAAUGGGUAAGCUGUUGUUUUCAGUUGCUCUGUUUUGUGCAGUUUGCUGGAUGAAAGUGUUU